rnacentral:rRNA from 1 species
GGGUUGUGAGGUUAAGCGACUAAGCGUACACGGUGGAUGCCCUGGCAGUCAGAGGCGAUGAAGGACGUGCUAAUCUGCGAUAAGCGUCGGUAAGGUGAUAUGAACCGUCAUAACCGGCGAUUUCCGAAUGGGGAAACCCAGUGUGUUUCGACACACUAUCAUUAACUGAAUCCAUAGGUUAAUGAGGCGAACCGGGGGAACUGAAACAUCUAAGUACCCCGAGGAAAAGAAAUCAACCGAGAUUCCCCCAGUAGCGGCGAGCGAACGGGGAGGAGCCCAGAGCCUGAAUCAGUGUGUGUGUUAGUGGAAGCGUCUGGAAAGGCGCGCGAUACAGGGUGACAGCCCCGUACACAAAAAUGCACAU